rnacentral:rRNA from 1 species
CUAAGGCGAGGCCGACAGGCGUAGUCGAUGGACAACCAGUUGAUAUUCUGGUACCCGGAUGGAAGCGCCCGUGGUGAAUCAGUGAUACUAACCGCCCUGAAGCCUGAUGGCAGUCUUUUGGAUUGUUGUUGGUGUGGAUGCGUGGGAUCUGAUCUGGUAGUAGCCAAGCGAUGGUGUGACACAGGAAGGUAGCCGAGCCACUGAGUGGAUUGUGGUGUAAGCGUGUAGCCCGCAUGGUAGGUAAAUCCGCUGUGCAUGGUGGGUGAGGCGUGAUGCGUACCCCGUUUUUGGGGGAUGUUGGUGAUCCUAUGCUGUCGAGAAAAGCAUCUAGCGAUGUUUCCAUCUGGCCCGUACCCCAAACCGACACAGGUGGUCAGGUAGAGAAUACUAAGGCGAUCGGGUGAACUGUGGUUAAGGAACUCGGCAAAAUGCCCCCGUAACUUCGGGAGAAGGGGGACCACUGCUGGUGACAGACUGGUUUUGAGCUGGUGGUGGUCGCAGAGAAUAGAGGGAAGCGACUGUUUACUAAAAACACAGGUCCAUGCGAAGACGAUAAGUCGAUGUAUAUGGACUGACGCCUGCCCGGUGCUGGAAGGUUAAGAGGACCUGUUAGUCACUUUGGUGGCGAAGCGGAGAAUUUAAGCCCCAGUAAACGGCGGUGGUAACUAUAACCAUCCUAAGGUAGCGAAAUUCCUUGUCGGGUAAGUUCCGACCUGCACGAAUGGCGUAACGACUUCCCUGCUGUCUCAACCACAGGCCCGGCGAAAUUGCAGUACGAGUAAAGAUGCUCGUUACGCGCGGCAGGACGAAAAGACCCCGGGACCUUCACUAUAGCUUGGUAUUGAUAUUCGGUUCGGUUUGUGUAGGAUAGGUGGGAGACUGUGAUCACAUGACGCCAGUUGUGUGGGAGUCGUUGUUGAAAUACCACUCUGGUCGUAUUGGAUAUCUUAACCUCGGCCCAUGAUCUGGGUUAGGGACAGUGCCUGGUGGGUAGUUUAACUGGGGCGGUUGCCUCCUAAAGAGUAACGGAGGCGCCCAAAGGUUUCCUCAGCCUGGUUGGCAAUCAGGUGGUGAGUGUAAGUGCACAAGGGAGCUUGACUGUGAGACUGACAGGUCGAGCAGGUACGAAAGUAGGGACUAGUGAUCCGGCACUGGCUUGUGGAAGCGGUGUCGCUCAACGGAUAAAAGGUACCCCGGGGAUAACAGGCUGAUCUUCCCCAAGAGUCCAUAUCGACGGGAUGGUUUGGCACCUCGAUGUCGGCUCGUCGCAUCCUGGGGCUGGAGUAGGUCCCAAGGGUUGGGCUGUUCGCCCAUUAAAGCGGCACGCGAGCUGGGUUUAGAACGUCGUGAGACAGUUCGGUCUCUAUCCGCCGCGCGCGUAGAAACUUGAGAAAGGCUGUCCCUAGUACGAGAGGACCGGGACGGACGUACCUCUAGUGUGCCAGUUGUCACGCCCGUGGCAUGGCUGGUUGGCUACGUACGGAAGGGAUAACCGCUGAAAGCAUCUAAGCGGGAAGCCUGUUUCGAGAUAAGGUUUCAUGAAUCAGGUGCCCUCUAGACUAGGGGGUUGAUAGGCCAGAGCUGGAAGCGUAGUAAUGCGUGUUGAGGUGACUGGUACUAAUGCACCGAACACACCCAA